rnacentral:rRNA from 1 species
UACGUAGGGGGCGAGCGUUGUCCGGAUUUAUUGGGCCUAAAGCAUCCGUGGCCGGUUCUACAAGUCUUCCGUUAAAUCCACCUGCUUAACAGAUGGGCUGCGGAAGAUACUAUAGAGCUAGGAGGCGGGAGAGGCAAGCGGUACUCGAUGGGUAGGGGUAAAAUCCGUUGAUCCAUUGAAGACCACCAGUGGCGAAGGCGGCUUGCCAGAACGCGCUCGACGGUGAGGGAUGAAAGCUGGGGGAGCAAACCGG